AUUGAACGCUGGCGGCAGGCCUAACACAUGCAAGUCGAACGAGUGGCGGACGGGUGAGUAAUGCCUGGGAAACUGCCCGAUGGCGGGGGAUAACUACUGGAAACGGUAGCUAAUACCGCAUACCAUCGGAGGUGCCCAGAUGGGAUUAGCCAGUAUGUGGGGUAAUGGCUCACCUGGGCGACGAUCCCUAGCUGGUCUGAGAGGAUGACCGGCCCCACUGGAACUGUGACACGGUCCAGACUCCUACGGGAGGCAGCAGUGGGGAAUAUUGCACAAUGGGCGCAAGCCUGAGGCAGCCAUGCGGCGUGUAUGAAGAGGGCCUUCGGGUUGGAAAGUACUUUCAGCGAGGAGGCGUUACUCGAAGAGGGAGCACCGGCUAACACCGUGCCAGCAGCCGCGGUAAUUC
rnacentral:rRNA from 1 species